UUCUUUUCUAAGAGUUGCCUUGGCCAUGGUGAAUCAUCACAGCAAUAGAACAGUGAAUGAGACACCCAUUCUAAAUUUUUGAAGCCACAAGCACCCCCAUCCCGGUCACCAGCCUUGCCUGGCCUAGAAAUUUCAGAGUUCACAGCCGAGUCCCAUUGCCUCAUGAAGGAUCUCGCUGUGGCAAGACUUCCAGCACCGCGCAUGGAGCCAGCAUUGUGAACUUCCUCGCUGAAGUGGGCUUCCUCUGACCCAGACAAAGACGUGAUUUUCCCAGCUAUUCCCAUAACCCCGGCCUUUAACCCUGGAGUGACACAUAAAUGAUAUUCUGAGAUAUAAAGCAGUCUGAAAACAUCUGGGAUUUCCAGCGGCUACAAAGUCACAGGUGCUGUCAAUGCUAUCGUGGCCUGAUGCCCAAGUACAUAAGGGAAUGCUAAACUUGUCACAGGAAGUCAAGGGAGCCCCAAAGCAGGGAGGCGAGGAUGCGGACACUGUUGGAAGCCGACGCUACUCACUGGAGGCGCAGCAGACGAACACCUUCAUCCUCAGACACUUCCAGUGCAGAUUGUGAGUGGGCGUGGCUGGGGAGGAGACUGGGCCUGAGUUGCUUUCACUCACUGGUGCCCUUGCGACCUUACGCUUAGACUCCCCCCCCCCCCGCCCCAAAUUGCCCGCAUCCGGCUAUGUCCUGGGGUAACUGCUCCAUCCUUUGGACAGUGGUCACCAUGGCUCUGUGGCCAGCUCAACCCAGAAUGCCCGGAACAGAAAUGCUCUGAGGCCCAAAUUUGAGGCUGUCACCAAGCCCCCACUCCAAUCCUCACAACUCUGAAGCCUUAUCCCUGGUGAAGACCACAUCGGCCGACCGGCCGGGGAUCCCCGGGACCCUACCCUGUCACUCAAAAGACCGAGGACCCGGCACUCACAGAUAUAGUAAUAUUCUUGGCCGGCAUGGAAUUCAUAUCCCAGCGAGAAGGCGCUGUAGCGCUGGAACUUCUCGGAGAACUUGAUGGGGCUGUGCGAGGCGUGCUGCCGGUUGCAUUCCCAGCGCUUGGAGCCUUGACUGGCGUUGCAGGUGCGGUAGCCACUCAGGUUCACCAUGUACAGCACGUACUGCUCCGCCUCGCCGCCAGGCCCUGAGCUAUUGUAGUGCGGACAGUAAAUAUCCAGAUAGUCGUUCACGUUCACCUGCACCGUGUAGCCCUCUCGCCGCAGGCUGUGGACAAAUGAAGCGGUCAAAGAAAGCCCAAUGCUCUAAGGUUUUCCAUGUUACCACUUCGCAGACCUUCAU